GAUGAACGCUGGCGGCGUGCCUAAUACAUGCAAGUCGAGCGAACAGACGAGGAGCUUGCUCCUCUGACGUUAGCGGCGGACGUGUGAGUAACACGUGGAUAACCUACCUAUAAGACUGGGAUAACUUCGGGAAACCGGAGCUAAUACCGGAUAAUAUAUUGAACCGCAUGGUUCAAUAGUGAAAGACGGUUUUGCUGUCACUUAUAGAUGGAUCCGCGCCGCAUUAGCUAGUUGGUAAGGUAACGGCUUACCAAGGCAACGAUGCGUAGCCGACCUGAGAGGGUGAUCGGCCACACUGGAACUGAGACGCGGUCCAGACUCCUACGGGAGGCAGCAGUAGGGAAUCUUCCGCAAUGGGCGAAAGCCUGACGGAGCAACGCCGCGUGAGUGAUGAAGGUCUUCGGAUCGUAAAACUCUGUUAUUAGGGAAGAACAAAUGUGUAAGUAACUAUGCACGUCUUGACGGUACCUAAUCAGAAAGCCACGGCUAACUACGUG
rnacentral:rRNA from 1 species